UACAGAGGUCUCAAGCGUUGUUCGGAUUCAUUGGGCGUAAAGGGCUCGUAGGCGGUUUGUCGCGUCGGGGAGUGAAAACCCAGGGCUUAACCCUGGGCUGGCUUCCGAUACGGGCAGACUAGAGGUAUGCAGGGGAGAACGGAAUUCCUGGUGUAGCGGUGAAAUGCGCAGAGUAUCAGGAGGAACAACCGGUGGCGAAGGCGGUUCUCUGGGCAUUACCGUGACGGCUGAGGAGCGAAAGUGUGGGAGCGAACAGG
rnacentral:rRNA from 1 species